CAUGGGCGUGUCCGCCGAAUAGAAGGGGUAAAAAUAGUGCGAGAGAAAGACGACGGACGGAUAAUUAGUGAAAGAAAACACGUAAUUCGAGUGCAGCGCAACAUUCCUCUGGCACGAGCGGCGCGACCGAGACGUGCGGGACACCCUGAGCGACAUGUUCCUCAACUCGUCCGAAAACACGGCGUUCAAGAGCCGCAAGCAGGCCUCCAGCACCAGGGGUCGGCUGCCGGCGCCUGACCAGCAGGCCAAGAGGGCUCGUCUGCUCGCCCCACCCCCGGCAGACCCAUGUGACAAUUCCAACGACUCCGGCCUGGGCGUCGAUUUCAAUGAGGAUGAAUCUCUGAGCGGAUUUUCCCGCGCCGUCACGUCCGACGGCAGCAUUUCCUUGAAUGUGAUUUCCCAGCCCGAGAGUCAACACCGAGCUCGAUAUCAAACCGAGGGCAGCAGAGGCGCCGUCAAAGAUGCCUCCGGCCAAGGUCACCCGGUGGUUAAGCUGGACGGGUACGACAGGGCAGCUGUGCUGCAGGUCUUCAUUGGCUGCGAUGACGAACGCAUGGUCAAUCCACAUUUGUUCUACCAGGCGUGCCGAGUCAGUGGCAAGACUGCCAGUCCCUGCGCCGAGAGCUGCGUCGCCGGCACCAAUGUGCUCGAACUCACUUUCAACAAGGAGAAUCAGUUUACAAUUAUUUGUGAUUGUGUCGGAAUCUUAAAGCAGAGGAAUGUGGACGUUGCGCAGAGAGUGGAGAACGCCUGUGCCCAGAAGUCGAGAAAGAAGAGCACAAGGUGUCGGCUAGUUUUUCGCACGCAAGUCGAGCUGCCCAACGGAAUGACUGAGACGCUGCAAGUCCUCUCCAAUCCCAUCGCAUGCACACAACUGCCGGGAAUGCCGGAAAUACUGAAAGUGUCGAGGACGUCGUCGUCGUCCGAGGGCGGAAAGGAGCUUUUCGUGCUGGGCAAAAACUUCCUCAAGGACUCGAGGGUGGUUUUCCAGGGCAGAGGGUGGAAAAAUGAAGCCGUUCCCGAGAAAGAAUAUUUGCAGCCAACCCACUUGGUGUGCACAAUCCCUGCGUACUGUGGGUCGUCGUUGCCCGAAACCGUGGAAAUGUUUGUGCGGUCCAACAGCCGUCAAAGUGAGGCGGUCCAUUUCACUUAUAACCAAUCUGCAGAUUCUUCUGUUGGUGCAAAUAGCCAUCAAGACCACAAUUAAGAGCUGAAAGCGGAAUCGCCAGGCAAAAAUGCACCCACUUAAGUUGGCCCCGAGGACAUCAUUUCUGGUGAAGUAUCAAACAUAUUCGCAACAGCGCCCUUCGCCACAAGUUCCAUAACUAUAUAUUUAACUCUCGUUGUGGCGCGGGGGUUGCUUCAUAUUUCAAUGAGAGCCAACCUGCGAGGCUGCCCUUAAUUGUUUCCGGAAAAUUUAAUUUAUUUGGCAAACUCGCAGGUUGCGUGGAAAUUGGCCUAUGAUUGUGGAUUGGCUUCAUGGACUAAUUUCAAAACGGAGAAGCAAGUUUUCAGAGUUGGACUCGCACGCACACUUGAUUUAUUCACGCACACACAUAUAUGCCGAGAGUGCUGGGAAAACUCGCAAAUUUCAGAAAACUUGCUUUGAGCGAGUGAAACGUGUGGCACUGAUUAUGAUUUUUACCCUAUAUGCAUGGCUAUGGAACGGUGGAGUGAUUCGGGGGGAGGGGGGAGCCGAAAAAUUUCCUCCGACAAGUCACUAUUUGUAAAUUUUGCUCGGAAACUCGGGAAUUGUUUCGCCUAAAAAAAUGUAGUGAUUUUUCAUAGUGACGAGCAGGAAAUUUUAAGUCAGCCAUUCAGACUUUCCGCGUUUUUUUGUUGGAAACUACUGUUGAAACAAUUUACAUUAAAUUUGGAAGGUCUGUCUCUGAAUCUCAGCUUCACCCAAAUUGAUUGAUUUUUCAUUUUAAAAGAGGAUUUUGCAAAGAUGGGUGGACGCCGAGUGACGGUGGCUGUUGCGAAUGGCCAUGCAGACUGCAGGGCAGAGGCCAAUCAUCAAAACAUAAUAUUUCUUAUUUCGAGCUCUACUCGGAGUUGAUUUAAAAAUAUAAAAAUCAAAACGUCCUGACCAGAGCGCCGACGUGCCUUUCAGUCUGUCUGAGUGAGUGAGUGAGCAAGCGCAGACUUUUCCACAGCCAUGUCGUUUUAAAACCCUUUCCAAGAUAAUUUUGCUAACUCGACUUUUUCAUUCUCCAGAUGGCAGGUGGGGACAGCAGGUUGUCCAGCCACCCCCACAGAGCAACGUGUGUGAGCUUUUGCAAGAUCUGAUAUCGGCGAAGCCGUUGCCUCCGCAGAGUGGCACCAGCGUUGAGAAAUUCCUGUCGGACAUUGAGCAGCAGCCGCAGC